rnacentral:rRNA from 1 species
GACGAACGCUGGCGGCGUGCCUAAUACAUGCAAGUCGAACGAACUCUGGUAUUGAUUGGUGCUUGCAUCAUGAUUUACAUUUGAGUGAGUGGCGAACUGGUGAGUAACACGUGGGAAACCUGCCCAGAAGCGGGGGAUAACACCUGGAAACAGAUGCUAAUACCGCAUAACAACUUGGACCGCAUGGUCCGAGCUUGAAAGAUGGCUUCGGCUAUCACUUUUGGAUGGUCCCGCGGCGUAUUAGCUAGAUGGUGGGGUAACGGCUCACCAUGGCAAUGAUACGUAGCCGACCUGAGAGGGUAAUCGGCCACAUUGGGACUGAGACACGGCCCAAACUCCUACGGGAGGCAGCAGUAGGGAAUCUUCCACAAUGGACGAAAGUCUGAUGGAGCAACGCCGCGUGAGUGAAGAAGGGUUUCGGCUCGUAAAACUCUGUUGUUAAAGAAGAACAUAUCUGAGAGUAACUGUUCAGGUAUUGACGGUAUUUAACCAGAAAGCCACGGCUAACUACGUGCCAGCAGCCGCGGUAAUACGUAGGUGGCAAGCGUUGUCCGGAUUUAUUGGGCGUAAAGCGAGCGCAGGCGGUUUUUUAAGUCUGAUGUGAAAGCCUUCGGCUCAACCGAAGAAGUGCAUCGGAAACUGGGAAACUUGAGUGCAGAAGAGGACGGUGGAACUCCAUGUGUAGCGGUGAAAUGCGUAGAUAUAUGGAAGAACACCAGUGGCGAAGGCGGCUGUCUGGUCUGUAACUGACGCUGAGGCUCGAAAGUAUGGGUAGCAAACAGGAUUAGAUACCCUGGUAGUCCAUACCGUAAACGAUGAAUGCUAAGUGUUGGAGGGUUUCCGCCCUUCAGUGCUGCAGCUAACGCAUUAAGCAUUCCGCCUGGGGAGUACGGCCGCAAGGCUGAAACUCAAAGGAAUUGACGGGGGCCCGCACAAGCGGUGGAGCAUGUGGUUUAAUUCGAAGCUACGCGAAGAACCUUACCAGGUCUUGACAUACUAUGCAAAUCUAAGAGAUUAGACGUUCCCUUCGGGGACAUGGAUACAGGUGGUGCAUGGUUGUCGUCAGCUCGUGUCGUGAGAUGUUGGGUUAAGUCCCGCAACGAGCGCAACCCUUAUUAUCAGUUGCCAGCAUUAAGUUGGGCACUCUGGUGAGACUGCCGGUGACAAACCGGAGGAAGGUGGGGAUGACGUCAAAUCAUCAUGCCCCUUAUGACCUGGGCUACACACGUGCUACAAUGGAUGGUACAACGAGUUGCGAACUCGCGAGAGUAAGCUAAUCUCUUAAAGCCAUUCUCAGUUCGGAUUGUAGGCUGCAACUCGCCUACAUGAAGUCGGAAUCGCUAGUAAUCGCGGAUCAGCAUGCCGCGGUGAAUACGUUCCCGGGCCUUGUACACACCGCCCGUCACACCAUGAGAGUUUGUAACACCCAAAGUCGGUGGGGUAACCUUUUAGGAACCAGCCGCCUAAGGUGGGACAGAUGAUUAGGGUGAAG